AGUGAACGCUGGCGGUAGGCCUAACACAUGCAAGUCGAACGGCAGCACAGUAAGAGCUUGCUCUUACGGGUGGCGAGUGGCGGACGGGUGAGGAAUACAUCGGAAUCUACUUUUUCGUGGGGGAUAACGUAGGGAAACUUACGCUAAUACCGCAUACGACCUACGGGUGAAAGCAGGGGAUCUUCGGACCUUUCGCGAUUGAAUGAGCCGAUGUCGGAUUAGCUAGUUGGCGGGGUAAAGGCCCACCAAGGCGACGAUCCGUAGCUGGUAUGAGAGGAUGAUCAGCCACACUGGAACUGAGACACGGUCCAGACUCCUGCGGGAGGCAGCAGUGGGGAAUAUUGGACAAUGGGCGCAAGCCUGAUCCAGCCAUACCGCGUGGGUGAAGAAGGCGUUCGGGUUGUAAAGCCCUUUUGUUGGGAAAGAAAAGCAGCAGGUUAAUACCCCGCUGUUCUGACGGUACCCAAAGAAUAAGCACCGGCUAACUUCGUG
rnacentral:rRNA from 1 species